GGCAUGGGCCUGCACCGAGCUGGGAGCAGAGCGGACACCCUCAAAGCAGCGGCAGCGACAGGAAGCGGUUCCAAGAAGCAAAGUAUGGCGGCGAGGCGCUGCCGGGAGCACCAAAAAGGCGCUCUGCUGGAGCUGGAAGUGGACGGUAUUGCAGUAUGAAUGAAGGAGCAGCUGCUGAUGGGAGGCAGGAAGUCCAGGCUCAUGAACGCUGAGGCAUCUGCCAGUACAGCACCAGAGGAGGCAGUAGUGACGUUGGGGGGCAGUUGCAGAAGAAGAUGAGGAGUUCCCCAGCAGGAAGCCACAAACCCGGCAGGAACCUGCAGGGGAAUCGCAGCAUGUGUGGGUGCCCAGGAGGAAAUGCAGCCCCAGUGUCUGAGCAGCGCCUGGCCAUGGAGUGCUGCGGCCCAAGAACAGCGCUAUUCUGCCCUUGCCGAGAUGGCUUUCCAAGGAGGACUUGUCUGUGGGGGUCAAGGAGGUUAUUCGGGUUAUGUGGGCUCGUUGGGGUCUGUCCUCACAAAAAGCAGAGGGCUGGCUCAUCCAAAAGCUUGGUGAUUGCUUGGAAGCCCAAACCCUUCUGGCCUCCAAUGACCCCAUAGGCCCGACUGACCCCAUAGACCUUUUUGACCGAGUGACCACAGUGACCUCACAUGAACCAUAUAACCCCACUGAUCCUCAUGAUCCCAAUGAUCCCACAUGGGCCCAGUGACCCCACAUGACCCCACUGACCCCACCGAUCCCAAAGAUCCUAAUGAUACCCAUGACCCCAUAAGACCCCAACAACCCAUUAACCCUACUGACCCCAGUGACCCCAUUAAGCUCAUAUGACCCUAUUGACCCCACUGACCCCAUUAAUCCCAAUGACUCCAUUGACUCCAAUAACCCCCACUGACCGCAUUAAGCCACUUGACCCCAAUGAACCAAUUGACCCCAAUGACUCCAUUGACUACAAUGACCCCAAUAACACCCUUUGACCCUAAUGACCCCCAUUGCCGCAGGGACCACAUUGACCCUUAUGAUCCGAUUGAAUCCAAUGACCCCAUUCACUUCAAUGACCCUAUUUACUCCAAUGACCCCACUGACACCAAUGACCCCAUUCACUCUAAUAACCCCAUUUAAUUCAAUGACCACAAAGACCCCUAUGGCCCCCACUGACCCCAAUGACCCCCAUUGACCCCAGUGACCCCAUUGACUCCAAUGUCCCCAUAGACCCCAAUGACCCCAUUGUCUCCAAUGACCCCAAUCAGGAUGCAGCCUGGGGGAAACGUCUCCUGCUUCGAAUCAUGCAGCACCUGAGCGAGAGGCUGACCCAGCCUGGCUACACAACAAUCGUGUGUAUUUCUCUGUUCUGAUGCUUCACAGAACCCCAUUGGGUGAGCCUCCUGUUGGUUUCUUCAAAUUUGGUACCAAUCCUGGGGACCAAAACCACAGCCUGAAAGGCUGGAACCAGUCCAAGGGCUUAAAGCCACAAUGCCAGCUGCAGAGGCCAGAAGCAGCCAAGGGCCUGAGGCCACAGACACAGGCGGGGAGCCCAGCACUGGCCCUGGGACUUAAAGCCACAGCCGGAGAGGCUGAAAUCAGCCCUGGGACUCAAAGCCCCAAACAGAGAUGCUGGCACAGGCCCUGGGUUUAGUUUUCUACGGGUUCCCCUGGGACUCCAUUGACCACUCUGAGGCCAUACUGGUCUUGACUGGUUUUUACUGGGCUGCACAACAGUCAUCUUCACUUCUCCAUUAUUCAAAUAACCCCACUGGGUGACCCUGGUGGUGAUUUCCUAAGAUGUGGAUCAGGGAGUCGUCCAUUUCCUUCGCUUAUGAUGAAAGCACGGAAGCGAUGCGGGCACUCGCUGAGGUCACAAUCACUGCUGGGCUGGCAGCGUUUCCGCCACAGCUGGUGAGCAGAGCUGGUGCUCUGGUGAGCGUGCUGCACACCGAGGCUGAGCUCUGGGCCUUCCGUGGAACAGAUCACCCUGUGAGAGCCCGUCAGAAGCACCGCGUGUGCACUCGUCGGUACUCUCUGCAGGGUUCCUGUCCCAAGGGAGAUUUUGGGAUCGAGGCAGUCGGAGGAAGAGGGAAGCCAGCUCUUUGCAAGGGCCGGGGAAGUUCCUGUGCACAGAGGCCUGGGACCUUCAGCUUCCUCUGAGCCUUCAGCGGCCAUGUCUCAGCACGGAGACGACCGCGGUUCCAAUUGCUGCCGUCUGAGUGGCAAGAAGCGGCGCGGUGCGGUUCCCCGCGGUUGGGAGCAGCAGCCAGCAGGCUGCCAGAGAUCCCACCGCGCCUUCCAGCGCACAGAGGGACGCAACAGGGACGGACGGUCCUUCAUGCCAUACAGAAGGAUGGAGCCUGCGCGUCCAUGGAGUGGUGCUGGGCAAGGCUGGAAACGCAAAGCCUCCGCAGGUAAGAAGCUCUUGUGAGCUGUGCUGACUGCAGAAGCGGCAUAAUGUUGUAGCAGCAGAAAGGCAAGCUGAAGAAACUGCUCUUGAAGACCAGAAGAUUGUGGUUGGCUGUGCUCAAAUCUUCC